AUGCUUCUGUCUCGACCAGUGGACGGCAACCUGGGGCACGCGGCGCGUGCAACACUUUGCACGCGUAAGGAAAGACAGCAGCAUGCGGGGGUGUGAGAACUAUGAUCGCUUGAUGUGUCGUGUGUAUUUUUCGGAUUUGAAUGGCGAUCUCGUCUCAAAAGAGCUUUUCUUUUCCCCCUAUGGAAUCGUGAAGAAAUGGUCCAAUCACGCAGCUCUGUAACUCUGACCCCCCUUCCCCCCUAUAUAAAUGCGGACCGUUGCUGGAGUGGCCGUCACGUGACGUACGACGUGACACACCUGCGCCAAUACCAAGCAUUGAGUCUUUCCGACUGGAGUCAUGAGGAGGGCCAACAGGCGCGCAAAGAAUCACAAAAGCGGACGCAAAGUUUUUCAAUGAACUGCAAAAGUGAUCCGAUGGAGAGGAAUCACCUUUCUCAGGUCCACUGUUUCAGUGAAAGGAGGCGGCUCUGAAGAGGAACACUCUUCUUCUUCAACAACCAGGUCUCUCUGAGACUUGUGUGUGUUCCUGUGAAGAGAACCAGGAUGGCAGCCAGGCUCCACAUACUGCAGUCCAAACCUUUCCCCAGUGUCGGCCUGUGACAACACUAAGGCAGGAUACUUGGCUUGUCCUGUCACUUCCUUUGACAGCUUGUUCAGCUCUGCAAUCAGAGCUGGAUUAAAAACUGAAGGAAGCUUCAGACCAGGUCGCUUCAGGCUCCCAAGGCGCUGGAAGUUCCACCCAGCUACUCCAGUCAUGCCUUGGGCCUGGAAAAGUUUUGUGGAGAGCUGAUUUCCAGUCACCUAUUUGGACUGGUGGAAAUGAAAUCCCUCCUGCUGUGAUGUGCCUCGCACCGGGACCAAGAUCGGUACCGCUGCCGCUUCCCCCUUGAUGUGGUUCAGCUGUGAUGUGCCACCGUGUCUGUAGAGGAUCCCGUCUCCCACCUCCAGCUGAAUCCUUCAGCAUUGUUGUUUUAAACAGUGGUACGCCAUCUGGAUCCGAUUCAAAAAGGAACCUCUUCAGAAUACUACAUUUGCACCAGCAGCUCUCUGGGUUCUGGGAUUUUGGUGCAGCAGUGCUCCCUGAUGUGCUGCUUUGUGGGGUUUGCUGGCAGGAUCCCACAGAAGGUGGAGGCCUCCUCCAGCCUGUCAAAGGUCUUCUUAGAAUGCAUACCAGUUCACGGCUGGAUUGCUCGGUUGGAAAGGUAAAGGAUGGCCACACAGGAAACCAGGGAUCGAUUCUCGGGCAGAAUUAACAAUGGAGACAUUACCAUAUCAAUGGUGAGCACUUAACAUCACCCAGUUAAUGCCACUGCCUGCCUGUGCAUGUGCAUGAUGGUCAGAGUGGCUGUAGAUGCGAACUCUAUCAGUCUGCAUCAGGGCAGCUGUGGCUACAAUAAUGAUGGACAUACUAUAAGCGCAGAUAAAACCGGUUAUCUGGUUGUCCUCAAGUCACUACCUAAAGGUGGCUCUACUGGUCUUUCAGCUAAAUAGCUCCUCACAUCUCCAGAAAUGAAAGCAGACUCUCCUUUUAGGGAUAUCAACAUUAAACAAUGGAUCUCUCUCUCUUCAACGUUGUUAAUUAAAUAAAUGGUGGAGUCAAUCCAGAUUAAUGAUAAGCUGUUAUCCUAAACUUUGUCCUCUCUGAUGAGCUUGUCCUGGAGCUCAGGGUUACCUUUGAUCCUCUUGGCUUCAUCUGAAAGGUCCUGCCUCAGAAACCCAGCUGGGCCUUGUCUGAAGCUCAAGCUGACGUUCCCAGGAAAAAUUCAUUUCUUCUUCAUUCUGAAGAUCUGUAAUAAAAGAUGCAUUUAUUGUGGUUAGUGGGUGAAAUAAUCCAGGUGUACUGCAAAAUAAAAAAAAUGUUAAUACAUAAUCUGCCUUUGGUAAAAUAAAAAAAGGUUUGGAAAAAAAACAGUGUUUCAACUCUCAUCCGAAAAGCUGAUAUCCUCACAGCUGAUGUUUCAGGCCAUUGAUGUCCAACAAUGAUGGAAAAGGAAAAGGUCUCCAAAGUAGAAACUUCAUCCAGUUGGACUUUUUUUUACUUACGUCAAACUUUGACAUGUACUCUUGUGUUUAAAUAGUGGUCUGUUCCUCCUCAUCCUGUAAAUCCGGAUCGCCACAAUAUCUUGACUACUACAACGAUAUGGAAACAGCCCCCCCUAAUGUCGCUUUUGGUCAAGCAAUAUUUCACACCCGUUGUAUUGUGAACUGACAUGGAGAGUGACUUGGCGAGGUUUUCAAGAUGGCGGCCUAUGUGUUUCCGUAGUGUAGUGGUUAUCACGUUCGCCUCACACGCGAAAGGUCCCCGGUUCGAAACCGGGCGGAAACAACUUUUUUUUAUUAACAUAAAACAAACGCCACUUGAUCCCUAACUUUUUGGUUGAAUUCUUUCUUAAGAUGAAUAUUAUAAAACAAAAAAGACUAAAAUGUUUCAGCCUGUAGUAUCUAUAUUUGUAUUUUUUAUUUGUUUUUUUUGUUUUUGGUUUUUUUAGUCAACAAAAGUGUCUUUUUAAGAAAAUCAAAACUUUACUCAUCCAGUCGUGUUUUUUAUUGUCUGUUAAAAAAAAA